GAGUUUGAUCCUGGCUCAGGAUUAACGCUGGCGGUGCACAUAAGACAUGCAAGUCGAACGGGAAUCGUUAUUAAUGGAAAUAAGAUUUAUCUGAAAUAAGUUAAUAACAAUGAUUUUAGUGGCGGACUGGUGAGUAACACGUAAGCAACCUGCCUAUUAGAGGGGAAUAACAGUGAGAAAUCAUUGCUAAUACCGCAUAAGCUGAUAGUAUCGUAUGGUACAGUCAGAAAAGGAGAAAUCCGCUAAUAGAUGGGCUUGCGUCCGAUUAGCUAGUUGGUGGGGUAAAGGCCUACCAAGGCAACGAUCGGUAGCCGAGCUGAGAGGCUCAACGGCCACAUUGGGACUGAGAUACGGCCCAGACUCCUACGGGAGGCAGCAGUCGGGAAUAUUGCACAAUGGAGGAAACUCUGAUGCAGUGACACCGCGUAUAGGAAGAAGGUUUUCGGAUUGUAAACUAUUUUAGACAGGGAAGAAAAAAGACAGUACCUGUAGAAUAAGCUCCGGCUAACUACGUGCCAGCAGCCGCGGUAAUACGUAGGGAGCAAGCGUUAUCCGGAAUUAUUGGGUGUAAAGGGUGCGUAGACGGGACAGCAAGUUAGUUGUGAAAGCCCUCGGCUUAACUGAGGAACUGCAACUAANACUAUUGUUCUUGAGUGCAGGAGAGGAAAGCGGAAUUCCUAGUGUA
rnacentral:rRNA from 1 species